GGGCAGCAUGAUUGAAGCUUGCUUCAAUUGAUGGCGACCGGCGCACGGGUGAGUAACACGUAUCCAACCUUCCGCUGACUCGGGGAUAGCCUUUCGAAAGAAAGAUUAAUACCCGAUAGCAAAGGACUUCCGCAUGGAUAUCCUUUUACAGG
rnacentral:rRNA from 1 species